rnacentral:lncRNA from 1 species
UGGCGUUUUUACAACUUUGCCGGCCGCCAUCUAUUUUCAGAUGGGGAAACAGGCUCAAACUCAGUCCAUGACCCUCUCAGGGUCCACGUAAUUACUAAAAGCCAGGGUUUCCUCCCUACCGAAAGUCGCUUCUACAGUCUUAGAGCCUCUUCUGAGGGUAACAGACUGCCUUGCACACGCAGUGCUUGUGAGGAGAAACAGUAAGGUGACAUGGAGGCAGACUGACGGGUUUGAGUUUUGGCUCUCAUUUUCUGGGCCGUCCUUUCUGGGCCUCAGUCUUCUUCUAAAAUGAAACUCAUCAUCCAUGCCUGAGGGGGCGUUGAAGCGUGAAAUGCAAGGAUGGUGGAACAUGCCCAGCACAGCACCUGGCGCUUAGUAGGCUCUUUGUCUCACUGCUUCUCCCUUUGGAGCAGGGGCUCCGUUCCACUCACCUCUACACCUUCUCAGCCAUCACAGUGCCUGGCGUGUGGACGGUCUUCGUACGUGUUUUGAACAAAUGAACAAACCAGCUCACAGAGCUACUCACCUUGAUUUUAAUUGACUGAUCGCCUAAUGAAAUACCAAGUUUUGUGGGGGAUUCAGAAGAUUAUAUCAUGACAUCCCACAACUAGAAGGACCUGCAACUAAGAUAUACAACUAUGUACCGGGGAGGUUUGGGAAAUAAAGCAGAAAAAAAAAAUCAAACAGAAGAUUAUAUCAUGAAACUCCUCCCACAGGUUCUAACAAUCUGAUUGGAGGAGACAAGAUUAAUCAACACACAUUUAAGAGUGAACACAGAAGCUAACAAAUGAAAAUGAUUAAACAUGUAUGGCACAGACUGUUCAUAAUUAAGUUCACAGUUCCUCCAACAGAGCUCAGUUCUCAAAUUCUGACACUCACAGUGUUAAUUUACAUCUGUGUUGUUUGUUGACAGUUGGCUGUUCGUCAGAUCCUGGGCGUUCCGAUGGGAAGGAGAGCACUCACCUUGCAGCAGGGACCUUGUGUCUAGACGGCAGGGCUGGGUGGGAAUCUAGCAGGCAUCAGAAGAGCGCAGGGCCCAGGGGAUGGGGUGGAGGUGCCUGGAGACAGGAAAAAAAGGAGUCAAGGAGGGGAAGCGAGAGCAGACUGAAACAACAUUCAGCCACUGCACCAUUUGGCUGUUGAUUUUUUCCUCCCUCCGAGUGUGAAUAAAGUCACAGGACCUAAAUCCGGGAGCCACCUUAAAAGCGUCUGGCCGGGAGGCUUUAUGUAAUAGCUCACGAGGCAUUCAAAUCACUGCUCACACACUUUUAGGGACAGGGCAGAAAGCCCUUCGCUACCUCGGCAGAGAGCCCGCGUCUUCAUUAGACUGUUCU